AUCAUUUAUAAAUAAAAUACUUUAUUAUAGUGUUAAUAAUGAAAACUUGUAGUUACUGAAAGAUAAGAGAGAGAAUCGGACAAGGUGUAGCGUGUCAACAUCAACCAAGGUGGACGUCUUGUUUAUUGUUGUUAAUUUUGUUAGUAAAUGUUAAUUUGUGGGCCUUCCUCCCUCCCUCGUGUUUACUGCUCCAAUUGGUUGUUACUGUAGUGUUAAGACAACUACCAUAUUGCUGCCUCGCUGAUCAUGGUUAAUGAAGUUCCUCGUGUCAUUGUCUAGGACGGUGACGUGAAGAUGUAAGACAUGGGCCACAAGACGAAGGUUUGUUUUGGUUAACAGGUCUCUUGCUGCACCACAUUGGAAGCUUUCUGCUAUAACAUAAGGUACAGUACAGUGUAUAUCUUUGUGGUUUUAGUUUUUAUUAAGGAUCUGGGAUCACCGUUUAAAAAUUCAAGUAAUUG